rnacentral:rRNA from 1 species
UGCAUAUCAAUAAGCGGAGGAAAAGAAAAUAACAAUGAUUCCCCUAGUAACUGCGAGUGAAGAGGGACAAGCUCAAAUUUUAAAUCUGUCGGGUUCUACCUGACCGAGUUGUAAUUUGAAGAGGCGUUUUCUGUGUUUCUGAUCAGUCCAAGUCCUUUGGGAUAAGGCAUCACGGAGGGUGAGAAUCCCGUUCGGUUGAUCAGAUUCGCUUUACGAUACGUCAUCAAAGAGUCAAGUUGUUUGGGAUUGCAGCUUAAAAUGGGAGGUAAAUUUCUCCUAAGGCUAAAUAACGGCGAGAGACCGAUAGCGAACAAGUACCGUGAGGGAAAGAUGAAAAGAACUUUGAAAAGAGAGUUAAAAUAGUACGUGAAAUUGCUGAAAGGGAAACGAUUGAAGCCAGUCGUAUCUGCGGGUAAUCAGCCUUUCGGGUAUGAUUCUGUGGAGUGUGAGGAGCUAAACACCUUCAUGCCUGCAUAUUCGUGCUCUUGGGUGUACUUGCUCGUGUGGUAGGUUAACAUCAAUUUCGGACGUCAUAAAAUGGCUGGAGGAAUGUAGCUUCGAUCUCGUAUUGAAGUGUUAUAGCCUUCGGUAGAUGUGGUGAUCGGGAUUGAGGAUUGCAACGGAUACCCUUCGGGGCUACCUGUCUGAUCUCUGAUUGUUGCUCUGGUGCCGAAAGCGUGCUUACGGUUAUCAAAGUCAAUGGUCAAUAGGUUAGAACGGGUUAAAUUCGUUAAGGAUGUUGACGUA